AGAGUUUGAUCAUGGCUCAGAUUGAACGCUGGCGGCAGGCCUAACACAUGCAAGUCGAACGGUAACAGGAAACAGCUUGCUGUUUCGCUGACGAGUGGCGGACGGGUGAGUAAUGUCUGGGAAACUGCCUGAUGGAGGGGGAUAACUACUGGAAACGGUAGCUAAUACCGCAUAACGUCGCAAGACCAAAGAGGGGGACCCUCGGGCCUCUUGCCAUCGGAUGUGCCCAGAUGGGAUUAGCUUGUUGGUGGGGUAACGGCUCACCAAGGCGACGAUCCCUAGCUGGUCUGAGAGGAUGACCAGCCACACUGGAACUGAGACACGGUCCAGACUCCUACGGGAGGCAGCAGUGGGGAAUAUUGCACAAUGGGCGCAAGCCUGAUGCAGCCAUGCCGCGUGUAUGAAGAAGGCCUUCGGGUUGUAAAGUACUUUCAGCGGGGAGGAAGGGAGUAAAGUUAAUACCUUUGCUCAUUGACGUUACCCGCAGAAGAAGCACCGGCUAACUCCGUGCCAGCAGCCGCGGUAAUACGGAGGGUGCAAGCGUUAAUCGGAAUUACUGGGCGUAAAGCGCACGCAGGCGGUUUGUUAAGUCAGAUGUGAAAUCCCCGGGCUCAACCUGGGAACUGCAUCUGAUACUGGCAAGCUUGAGUCUCGUAGAGGGGGGUAGAAUUCCAGGUGUAGCGGUGAAAUGCGUAGAGAUCUGGAGGAAUACCGGUGGCGAAGGCGGCCCCCUGGACGAAGACUGACGCUCAGGUGCGAAAGCGUGGGGAGCAAACAGGAUUAGAUACCCUGGUAGUCCACGCCGUAAACGAUGUCGACUUGGAGGUUGUGCCCUUGAGGCGUGGCUUCCGGAGCUAACGCGUUAAGUCGACCGCCUGGGGAGUACGGCCGCAAGGUUAAAACUCAAAUGAAUUGACGGGGGCCCGCACAAGCGGUGGAGCAUGUGGUUUAAUUCGAUGCAACGCGAAGAACCUUACCUGGUCUUGACAUCCACGGAAGUUUUCAGAGAUGAGAAUGUGCCUUCGGGAACCGUGAGACAGGUGCUGCAUGGCUGUCGUCAGCUCGUGUUGUGAAAUGUUGGGUUAAGUCCCGCAACGAGCGCAACCCUUAUCCUUUGUUGCCAGCGGUCCGGCCGGGAACUCAAAGGAGACUGCCAGUGAUAAACUGGAGGAAGGUGGGGAUGACGUCAAGUCAUCAUGGCCCUUACGACCAGGGCUACACACGUGCUACAAUGGCGCAUACAAAGAGAAGCGACCUCGCGAGAGCAAGCGGACCUCAUAAAGUGCGUCGUAGUCCGGAUUGGAGUCUGCAACUCGACUCCAUGAAGUCGG
rnacentral:rRNA from 1 species